ACGAAUUGAGAUUACCACGUGUUUCCGCUGUGGUAGCAGUAAACAACAACAUGAUAAUGAUCUGAACGUCAAUUUUCAUGAUUAUUUUACGACGAGGAACAUCACAUCAGUGCAUCAAAUAUUACGAUCUUUCCUUUGGUAUUAGAGGGUGCUGCAUGGUGCCAUAGGCUUCAGUACUUUCAUCUGUGAAGACCCACUUGCUAACCCUACCAUGCACUGAAGGACCAUUAUGUGGGGAUACAGGUGCUUAUUAUGACCAAUGAACAGUCAUGUACAUGUAUACAUGAGUGGUCAAACUAUAUUCACUGGAUGGCUAUUUAUCAACACUCUCAUGUACAUUCUCUUGGACAUGUCUUGGACAUGUUUGCCCUGAAGCAACAGUUUUCAGUCCAUUAAUGUGUCCUUUUUCUUAACAACCCUGACAGCCAGGGUAGAAACUGAUUACAUGUACUUGACAGAAAUUGAUCAUGUCUUGGACAAGUCAAAGAAGUUCCUCCAGUCUUUCAGAGAAAUGACAGUUAUAAUGAAAGACUGGUAUUCACAAAGUAAAAGUGCUCUGGUCUUCAACAUUUUGUGGAAGAUUGAAUCAGUCUGAUUUAGAAUUCAGCUUGCAAUAUUUCUGGAUUUGUAUAUUUGGAUAAAACAUCACAUUUUCUACGUAUUGACUAAACAGUUUUGCGUUAAAUAUUGCCAAUGCCAUCUAUUAUUAUUUUUUCCCUCCAAGAUGACAUCAAGUCUUUAUUGUACCCCUUAAGCACUGUUACCAGAAAAAUCUUGUAAUGAAAUCAAUUAGUUUAUUUUUCUUGUUAAAUUUAAAGUCGGGGAAAAAUCCAAGAAAAUAAAGGUUAUUUUUAAUGGCAUCAAGAAAAUGGAUUUGUUUUUGUUUAACAGAAAAAUACUAUACAUGUUGUAGUUACUGUUAUGUAAUUUUUACAUCACUGUUCAGCCACACCUUUUUGUCAUUUUUGCCACAACUUUAUUAGUCACAUCUUUCAGGAAAUGUAUAGGACCUGUGGGUCUGUCAAUUUAAUUGCUAGUAAAUAUGCAUUAUAAAUUUGAACAAAAUUGCACUGGUGGAAAGUACUAAAGUACUGUUUUUUUUUUUUUUUUUAAUUUACUUGAUAUUGUGGUUGUGAUUUUGUUUUUAAUUAGAACACAAGAAACCCUGUUUGCAAAUUGUACUUCAAAUUUUUGACAAUAUUUUUUUUUAAUUACUGGCAUUGUCAAUUUAUUAUUGCCUUAAAAGAUCAAGUCAAAUGUUUCUAUUCAAACAUGGCUGGUGAAUGCAGUCUUCACCAGCGAAGGGAUUUGCUAAUUUUCUAUCUAUCUUGCUAUCAAAAGCCAGGAUUUUUUUUCACAGGUUGUGAUUGGAGUUUAUUGACAUCAUUUGACCAAUCAGUAAGUGCUAUAGUAAAUGACGAGAUCUUCAUUCAGGAUAUUUCUUGACUCUAUAGUCUCAGUAAUAAAAACCUUUGUAAACAAUGAUUCAUAAGAUAACAUUCCAUUCUUGAAAUUGCUAUGGCAUAUCAUCCAACGUGAAGAUUAUGCGCACAUAAUGUAAUCUGGAACCUACAUUUUGUAUAUUGCAGAUAAAGACUUGCAACUUACUAACAAAUAAACCUAUCUGCUUGUUAGUUAUUCUUCAGACACUUCACUUUUUAUAAGUGCUCUUUAUUUCUAUGAAUGAUGCAAGCUGUGAUUCGAGAUCAGGUGGCGUAAACAAUCCUGACCUUUGAUAGCAUGAUAGGCUAAGGGUUUGUGAAAAGAGUAGCAGACCAGAAUUCUUUGCUUACGAAGAUGAGCAAAUGCAUGUCACAUAAAUAAGAUGAAUGAAAGGAUUGUAAUGCAAAAGCCACUUAUUUGAAAAAGAGAUUCCAAGUUCCAUCUAUUGUCCAUCUCAUGAGGUUUCUUCAUGCUUAUCAUAUUACCAUAUGAUAUUUACCAUAUCAUUUUAAUAAUGUGUGUCACUAAGGUUGAAUUACAUGCAAUCGCAUCUUACGAAUUUUAUUUCAGUUCACAUGUUUUAGAUGUAUUUCUGGAAUGGCAACCAAGAUAUGCAAAAUAAAAAAGAUUAAUUCAUUUUAUCAAA